AAGGAUCAGUCAUACAACUGCAGCAUCAAGUAAGUCACUGACGAGUGGAUAGACAUCCAAGUGACUACUUGCUUUGGUCACGCUCAGUACCCUUGUUCUCUAACAAGCACUUGCACAAUUGCUCCAGUGUCGCCACACUGUGGACUCAAGACUCGUCCAUCAAAGAAAACGAUCUGUGCACUAAUCUCAGCGGAUCGAUCACCGUCCUCGUGAUGAUCCAUCGAUCAAGAGCAAUUCAGAAAUUAAUCACCAAUGACACAUGCCUCAAAUUCUCAACUCUUG
rnacentral:lncRNA from 1 species